AUGAAUCUCCAUAAUAAUUGUCAGCAACAACAGCUAUCGGGCUCAAAUUCUGCAAGGCCGCCAACAUUUUGGACCAUCUGUCCAACCUGUGGCACCAAAUUUCAGUACCACCAUGCAAUUUUGAAGAAAGCUGUCUGCUGCCAGAAUUGCUCGAAAGCCUUCAUAGCACACGCUUUAACUGAGCAACAUGUUCCUUUUGGUCCAUAUCAACAGUUUGCUGAGCUGUGGAUAAGUGCAGGAGUGUAUUCAGAAAUUAGAUUGCUUCGGAAGUUCGAACCUGGGCAGAUAUGGGCUCUCUACAGUGACAUAGAUAAGUUUCCGAAUUACUAUGUCUUCAUAGAGAAAGUUGAUCUCGAGAAUAAUGAAGUACAGGCAAGAUGGCUUGAAGCUUUUCCUGAUGAAGAGGUGGACCAAAGAUUGGUAGUAGAUCCAACUGUUGGGUGUGGAACCUAUAGGGUUUCCACCACAUGUGGUAUUAUGAUUUACACUGACACAAAACCCUUUUCUCAUCCUGUACAUGCGGCAUUCAUUGGUAGAAGGAACUCCUAUGAAAUAUAUCCUAGGAAAGAUGAAGUUUGGGCCCUUCUCAGGGGAUGGGAUAUUGGUUGGAGUUCAGAUGCUCACAACCAAAAGAACUACAACUAUGAAGUUGUUCAGGUCCUCUCUGAUUUCACGACUGGCACUAGCAUCACUGUCAUGCCACUUGUCAAGAUAAAAGUCUUUGUUAGCUUAUUUAUGCAGGACAAAGAGGCUACCGCAUACCUCAUACCUCAGGAUGACCCAAUAUGGUUCUCGCAUUCUCUCCCAUACCGUUUCAUGGGUGCAGCUGAAAGUGAAGGCAUUCCAGAAGGAGCUCUUGAACUUGAUCCUGCAGCGCUCCCCCUUAACUUGGAAGAUGCUUUAGCUUCUGUUGUUCCUGAAAGAAGUUCAGGGAAAGGUCAGGAGUUUGGCAUCGUAUACACUCGAUCUGCUGUAGAAGGUACUGAUGUUGAUGAGGAAUCUGGUGAUAUUAUCCAGGCAAAAUUUGUCCCUUGCUUCUGUCUCACAAAUGAAAAAGGAGGCAAGCUUCGAGGCUGUUUGGAGCUCGAUCCUUUGUCGAUGCAGAAGGGGUCUCUUGUCAGUAAUUCAAGGAGUGUGAUUGCUUGUGCACACCACCUGCCUGUUGCUUUGGUAUUUAAAACUUCUUCUAAUUCUCUAGGUUACCCGUUUGUUUACGGAGUCCAAAACUCCUUGCGAAAGAGCCAGGCAAAAGUAAGUGUCCAGUUCUGCUGUCGUCGAGGCGGCGAAACUUGUGGACAGGUGUACUUUCAGGGCUCCCGCUAUGACCUUUCUCUACUCCGCGUCGACAUCCGGGUGUCGCAGCUCAUUCUGAAUUAUCCAAAUCAAGAACAGAAAUGUGUAACUAGCUUCAAACAAUCUUUUCCCAUGCGUACACAGACUGAUAGAUCCACAUGGCACCUACCAGUUUCAUCCAACUACUUUUACCUUUCUACAGGACAACAACAGUUUCAGACAGCUCCCAAGUCCUAA
rnacentral:rRNA from 1 species